AGAGUUUGAUCAUGGCUCAGAUUGAACGCUGGCGGCAUGCUUUACACAUGCAAGUCGAGCGGCAGCGCGGGGGCAACCCUGGCGGCGAGCGGCGAACGGGUGAGUAACAUAUCGGAACGUAUCCUGUAGUGGGGGAUAACGCAGCGAAAGCUGUGCUAAUACCGCAUACGAUCUACGGAUGAAAGUGGGGGACCGCAAGGCCUCACGUUAUAGGAGCGGCCGAUAUUCGAUUAGCUUGUUGGUGAGGUAAAGGCUCACCAAGGCUGCGAUCGAUAGCUGGUCUGAGAGGAUGAUCAGCCACACUGGGACUGAGACACGGCCCAGACUCCUACGGGAGGCAGCAGUGGGGAAUUUUGGACAAUGGGGGCAACCCUGAUCCAGCCAUUCCGCGUGAGUGAAGAAGGCCUUCGGGUUGUAAAGCUCUUUUGGCAGGGAAGAAACGGUUGCGGUGAAUAUCCGCGACUACUGACGGUACCUGCAGAAUAAGCACCGGCUAACUACGUGCCAGCAGCCGCGGUAAUACGUAGGGUGCGAGCGUUAAUCGGAAUUACUGGGCGUAAAGCGUGCGCAGGCGGUUUUGUAAGCCAGAUGUGAAAUCCCCGGGCUUAACCUGGGAAUGGCAUUUGGGACUGCAAGGCUAGAAUCUGGCAGAGGGGGGUAGAAUUUCACGUGUAGCAGUGAAAUGCGUAGAUAUGUGGAGGAAUCCGAUGGCGAAGGC
rnacentral:rRNA from 1 species